rnacentral:lncRNA from 1 species
CCUCCGGGGGAGCACCGAGGAGCACUGAGGAGCAGCCACCCUCCAAGGGAGCACCAGGGAGCACCGAGGAGCAGCCACCCUCCGGGGGAGCACCGAGGAGCACCGAGGAGCAGCCACCCUCCGGGGGAGCACCGAGGAGCACCAGGGAGCACUGAGGAGCAGCCACCCUCCAAGGGAGCACCAGGGAGCACUGGGUGGGGACUCACGCGGUCGGUGAGUGAGAUGUCACAGCUAGGCACAGCCAGCAGGAGCCCGGUGAUCUCCUUGUGUCCGUGCUCACACGCACACAUCAGGGCCGUGGAGCCGUCCUCAUCCUGCAUGUUAACAUCCACCUCACAGGCCAACAGCGCUUUCACCACAUCCACCCGCCCGUGGCUGACCGCCAGCAUCAGGGCCGUCUGUCCUGCCUGAGACAACAGAAUAGGGCUGUAGUACAGAGGCCUGGUGGCAUCAUACCUCUGCUCUUGAUGUUCCCGGAUGUCCCGCGGCUCCCCUCUGACAUUGACUGGGUGCACAGACUGGGCCCACCUGGCUUCUUCUCUUCCCUCAGGUCUCAGUAUAAACUGGUCUUCUUCAGAAGGGCUAGCCUGGUUCUAGCCACCUACCACGAGCUCCCAACUCAUAGGUGGACAAUUAUGUAAAAACUUGUCAAAAGUGAAUAAAAAAGUAAA